CUUUGAUUUAUGAGUUUACUUUGAUCUCUUCGCGUAGAGUUUAGAGUAAUCAUCUCUAGCAUAAAUGUGGUGUUUGAGUUAGCAUACUCAUAGAUAUCCCCUGUCUAGCUGGACCGUGGUAGUAGCGAGGAACGUGACAUUUCUGAGUUACCUUUGUAGCCCAUAUCCCGUUAGCAGGAUCGAUAGGGUUUAUAGGUGCGGGUCGAACAUCCUCUGUGGUGUCUAGAUUCCGUGAGUCUCUCCAAUAGAACAGUAGAUCAUCCAUACCAAGGUUAGAACGAGAGUGCGGUUGUGGUCUUCUCUAUAUAUCACUCACAUCGAAUCACAUAGUUUGUAGCCUAAAGGUUAGUAGUAAUAGACCGGGUUAGUCAAAUGCACGCUUUCUCCUAGUGGUAAAAAUAUAAAUACGGUACUCUGGAUAACAUCCCGAGUGAAGUGCUCACCAAUAUCCGUGCGCUUGCGGAUUAAUUCCUGAUUGCGUUACCAAAUAUCAACAAGCAUUUCUGGCGCCUUUGCCGGGGAGAAAGACGGUUUGCUGAGAUAACCUUGAGUCUUACUACUAGCUUGUAUUUAUUCUUUUAUCUUUUAUUAUCUUUUUAUAUUCUUUAUUUUCUUUACUCUUACCUUAUGGAAAACCAAAAUUCUAAAUCGAUCUAUCAAUUUGCAACACCUUCGGAAACUGACCUUUUACCAUGGGAGUCAUCACAGCCUAUCCAAACAUCCCAGUAUAGGUUAAGUUCCAGGUUGAUUGCCAUGAUUCAAAACCUAUCCUUUUCAGGAAAGGAAGACGAAAACCCUUACCUUCAUAUUAGAGAUUUUGAGCAAACAUGCGAUUGUCUUCGCAUUGAAGGCAUUUCUGAUAAAACUUUAAGUUGGAAGCUUUUUCCUUUUUCCUUGAAGGGAGAAGCUAGACAAUGGUAUAGUCAGAAGGUAAGUCAACAACGAGGUGACUGGGGAGUCUUACGAGCCAACUUUUGUUUAGAUUUUUGUUCCCUCGACCGUAUCGGCGACCUUAGACUCGAAGUCCUAUCUUUUAGACAAAAAGAUAAUGAAACUUUGGGAAAAUCCUAGAAACGUUUUUCUGAUCUUUUAGAAUCUGGUCCAAACCUUAAUCUUGAAGACCCUGUUCUUUUAUUUCACUUUUUUCGAGGUCUUUAGAAAGAUCAUAAACAAAUGCUACAUACAAUGUCUAGUGGUUCUUUCUUUCGCAUCCCUAAUAAUGACGCUAGAGUGAUCCUAGAUAGAAUCCUAGAAGCUGAGAUGGAUAAUACCCUUCAUGAUAAAACCCACGAAGCCGAAGUAGACACUCUGCCAAAUUCUCUAUCUACUUUAGCUAUUCCAUGUUCUGAGCCACAAAGGGAAAAAAUUCCACCACCUGUUUUCAUGCUGGAUAUAGAAUCUGAUCUUUUUGCCGAUUUUGGAAACAUUUCAAACUACCAUUCUAUUGACAGACCCCAAAAUGGCCAUUUUAGCAUUUGUUUACCAAAUGAACAUCAAUUGAGAGAGCUUAUCUCAGUCAUGAGUAGCGAAUGGUUGGAGGAGUCAGAGCUUUCCUCUGAUGUGAUCCGUUUGGACACACCUCCUAUAACUAUACGCUGUGCUUAUGAUUCUGAUCAAUUUGAUGCUCUCUAUAAUCCUGUUGUGGGGAUCAACAUGAUGUCUGAAUCCUUUGCACUUAAAUUAUUUAAAAAUUUGGUCUUAACCCCCACAACAAAGGUCAUAAAGGAAUCUUCGGGGCGAUUAGUCCCCAGUCUUGGAAUUAUUUAUGACCUACCCUUAUUGGUAGAAGGCUCCAUGGUUCAUUUGAACUUUUAUAUCUUUGAUACAUGGGACUUCGACCUGUUGAUAUGACAACCUUUUGGAAGACUCCUUUAUGAAGGUCAUACUAGAAAGCUACACAUUUCUUUUGGAAAAACUUUUAAAUUUCCAAUAACAAUUUCUCAUUCUUUAAAUAAUAAGACCGAGUCAUAUCUUUUGCCUGAUCCUAUGGAGGAGGUAAAGGCUGCAUCUCUAGAGCUUUUAGAUGAACCAGACUUAGAAGACGAAACUCCUUUCUUCACUGAAGAAGAGGCUGAACCUUCUGAACCUGAACCCUUAGAUGAGUUUGCAGAAACACCUAGACCUCCCAUAGAGCUUAAAACUUUACCACCCGGUCUUAGCUAUGCUUUCCUAAACAAUAAUCCAGAGUUUCCUGUGAUCGUUAGUGAUAAACUCACUAAGGAGCAAACUCUGCGAUUGAUGACCACUCUUGAGAAACAUCACUCAGUUUUCGGCUACUCACUCUAAGAUCUUACAAGAAUCAGUCCUAUGAUUUGUACCCAUCGUAUUCGGACGGAUCCUUCUGUUUCACCUUCUCGAGAGCCCCAACGUAGACUAAACAACGCAAUGAGAGAGGUAGUUAAAAAGGAAGUUAUAAAGUUGCUGCAUGCAGGGAUUAUAUAUCCUGUGCCGCACAGUGAGUGGGUGAGCCCAGUUCAAGUUCUGUCUAAAAGGGGAGGCAUGACUGUCGUUACGAAUGAAAAGAACGAGCUAAUUCAGCAACGCACCGUCACAAGGUGGCGGAUGUGCAUAGACUAUAGAAAACUGAACAAAGCAACGAAAAAGGAUCAUUUUCCUUUACCUUUCAUAGAUUAGAUGCUAGAGCGAUUAGCGAACCAUUCGUUUUUCUGUUUCUUAGAUGGAUAUUCAGGGUAUCACCAGAUCCCAAUCCAUCCCGAUGAUCAAAGCAAAACCACUUUUACAUGCCCAUAUGGAACUUGUGCUUACUGUAGAAUGUCUUUUGGGUUAUUUAAUGCGCCAGCUUCUAUUCAAAGAAGCAUGAUGUCUGUAUUUUCUGAUAUGAUUGAAGAGAUUAUGGAAGUUUUCAUGGAUGGUUUCUCUGUAUAUGGAAAGACUUUUGAUAGUUGUCUUGAAAACAUAGACAAGGUUUUGCAAAGAUGUGAAGAAAAGCACUUAGUCCUUAAUUGGGAAAAAUGUCAUUUUGUGGUUAGGGAAGGAAUAGUGUUGGGACACCUAGUGUCUGAAAGAGGUAUUGAGGUAGACAAAACUAAAAUUGAAGUAAUUGAACAACUACCUCCACCUAUGAAUAUAAAAGGAAUUCGAAGCUUUCUUGGCCAUGCUGGUUUUUAUCGCAGAUUCAUAAAUGAUUUUUCAUUUAUUGCUAGACCACACACUCUUUUGCUAGCCAAGGAUGCUCAUUUCGAAUUUGAUGAUGCAUGCCUAACAUCUUUUAAUUUAUUAAAGAACGCACUCAACUCUGCACCAAUCAUUCAACCCUCUGAUUGGUCAUUGCCUUUUGAAAUUAUGUGUGAUGCUAGUGAUUAUGCUGUGGGGGCAGUUUUGGGACAAACUAAAAAUAAGAAGCAUCAUGCAAUUGCUUAUGCCAGUAAAACUUUGACAGGAGCUCAACAUAAUUAUGCAACCACUGAAAAAGAGCUUCUGGCCGUUGUCUUUGCCAUUGAUAAAUUUAGAUCUUAUUUGGUUGGAGCUAAAAUAAUUGUUUAUACUGAUCAUGCCGCACUAAAACAUCUGCUCGCUAAAAAAGAUGUUAAACCUCGCCUAAUUUGAUGAGUCUUAUUACUUCAAGAAUUUGACUUGGAAAUAAAAGAUAAAAAGGGAGUAGAAAAUUCUGUUGCUGAUCACUUGUCUAGAAUGUAUUUUAAGAAUCCACAGGAAACCCCCAUCAAUGAUUCACUCCGGGACGACAUGCUCUACAGGAUUUACAGGUCUGACCCUUGGUAUGUAGAUAUUGUUAAUUUUAUGGUUUCAGGGUAUUUACCACCAGGAGCAAACAAGAAGAAGCUUAUUCAAGAAAGCCGUUCACAUACAUACCUCUUCCGAGUAUGCUCUGAUGGCUUACUUAGGAGAUGUGUGACCACCGAGGAAGGAUGGAAGAUCAUCGACAGAUGUCAUUCAUCACCAUAUGGAGGUCAUUAUGGAGCAUUCCGUACACAUUCAAAGAUCUGGCAGUGUGGAUUCUACUAGCCUACAAUGUAUGAAGACACGAAGCAACAUAUCAGAAAAUAUGGGCCAUGUCAAAGGCACAGAAACAUAAACACAAGGGAUGCCAUGCCACUCACCAAUAACCUUCAGAUUAAGCUCUUUGAUGUCUGGGGAAUACACUACAUGGGUCCAUUUCCUCCAUCAAUGAAGUGUGAGUUCAUCAUGGUGGCAGUUGACUACGUCUCCAAGUGGGUAGGGGCACAACCUUGCAAGCACGCCGACAACAUCAGUUCAAAGAGGAUGUUUGAAGAAGUUACAUUUCCAAGAUUUGGAGUCCCCAGAGUAGUGAUAAGUGAUGGAGGAGCACACUUCAUUGACAAACGCUUCAAGCACUAUAAAUCGAAACAUGGAAUCCGUGACAACGUCGCUACUCCCUACCAUCCUCAGACAAGUGGCCAAGCAGAGACAUCCAACAAGCAAAUCAAGAAUAUUCCUAAAAAAACAUUCAAUGAGAUGGGAACGGCAUGGAAGGACAAGUUACCUGAUGCACUCUGGCAUAUCGGACAGCAUACAAGACCCCAAUUGGAAUGUCCCCAUACCAAUUGGUGUACGGGAAGACUUGCCACCUACCUGUUGAACUAGAAUUCAAAGCACGCUGGGCCAUAAGAAGAUGGAAUAUGGACCUAGAUAUUCUUGGAGAUCAUAGAAGAAUGCAGCUAUCAGAAUUGGAAGAAUGGCGAGAGAAAGCACAUCACAAUUCGAAGAUCUAUAAAGAAAGAGUCAAAAGGUGGCAUAACAAGAGGAUCAAGAAGGAGGAGUUUGCACCCAGAGAUAAGGUAUUACUUUUUAAUUCCAGGGUGAAGCUUUUCGGGCAUGGAAAACUCCAGAGUAAAUUGGAAGGACCAUUCCAGGUAAUCAAUUCAUCAUCCCACGGAGCUAUCACACUUCAAAAUGACGAAGGUACGUUAUUCAAGGUAAAUAGUCAACGUCUUAAAUUAUUUUUUGAGCCUAAUAAAGAAUUAAAAGAAAUAGACGUGAUCCAUUUUUACCUUCCUAUGGAGAAUUAGAGCCUGACCUUUUUAAUCUGAUGAUUUAGGAUCACGUAUAUGUUUUUCGAAUAAAGUCUGCAUCUAGAAGCAUGCUCGAGGAAGCGGGCCCACACAGGGCGGGCGCCCAGCCCCUACCUCCUUUCAGUCCCGAUUUCCUCCGUCACGAUAAACCCAUUUAUGGUAAACUAAAUAAUCAUGCGGAUGGAAUGUUUUGCACAUAUGGCGGCGGGAGUAGCCCGAGCAAACCCUAGAGGCACCUUUUGACCCCUAUAUAAACAGACCCCUAACGUCAGUUUUCAACACCAAUUUAUUCAAGCCUUCUCUCCUUCUUCAAUUAGAGCUUGCUUAAUCCCUCGCUGCUCAAAUGGCCGACGAGUUCCAUGAUGAUUGGGAAGUCGUCCCCUUCGACCUCAACAAGAAGCCCAAGGAAGACCCCGACGCCUACGCUCUCGUCCCGGCCAACACAGAGCGACAGCUAGCAGCCAUGCCAUCACACCAGCGCAGCUCCACCCAAUCUUUCCAUGCUCAACCAGUUCUCACCGCACCACUGCAGCCCCUACUUCUUAAGGGACCAUCAGCCAAGAAGGAGGCCACCAUCAAGGUACCAGCCGGCAUGAGGAUCUUACCACCCAGGCCCAAUGAGCGGGUCGUUGGAGUCAAGACCAACCGGAGCGGCAAGAUCAGUAGCAUCCGCUACACUACGGAGGAGGAGAGGCCUUACUUUGAGGGGAUUAGAGCAGCCAAAGUCCGUUUCAUCCCUCCAAAGGCAGCCCCGAAGCACGCCCUCAAUGCUCUUGAAACACCUCCUAAGCGUCGCAAGACUAUAGCAGAUGUAGAUGAGGACAUUCGUAGGCCACACAAGGUCAUCAUAGAGCUCCAGUCCUCGCUUAACUCUAUCAAUAGGCAGCUCUCUAACCAGAACACCAUUAUACUAGGUCUGAAGCAUGAUCUUGCUAGUGCUAAUAAGAAGAUUAGGGAGUUAGAGCGCCGCUAAGUUAUCUAGAUUAGAUCUUGAGGCAGUAUAUCUUAGUUAUUCAUCUUUAAAUUCGGUUUAAAUCUAUUAUUAGUUUCAGUUUGCCAUUAGUUAUUUGUAAUAAAUGCCUCAAUAUUAAUCAAGAUUAUUAUUAUUAUUAUGUCUUGUAUGUCUCUACUUUAUUUUUAUGCAAGAAAGCAGAAAACAAGCAUGGGGGAGAUCCCUCGACAUGCCAAACGCACUUCGACCACACCACUCUACGAUUCAGGUACAUACUCUGCACACUUUACACAUACACAUAUAUCUUGGUUUGUGCGGAAUAUUGUCUUCGACAUGAUAAAUUAACAAGAUGUUUCUAAUCAUGAUUAAUCUCACUCUGUGAUAUUUCCUGAAAACUUGCAAUUAGUAAAAAUCAUUUAAAAACCCUGUGUUACUUAAAUCAUUGUGGAAUGUGAGAUGGUAGAGUAUGAGUAUCUUAUUCUUGAUAUCGUUGUUGCUUUAGAAUUUAUUUCAAAAUCUUUAAAAAUUCUAACUACCAUCCUCAGUGUUUUAUAUGCCUGAUAAACAUGAAAAUAUUAACUAUGAUAAUUAUAAAAGCUAUCUGCUCUGUAUUGAGUUUGUUCAAAACGAGUUAGACCCUUGUCGAGAGAUUUAUCAUACUCCUAAGAUUAAGACAUUUAUUCAGAAAGAUUCACUCUUCCGAAGUAUUAUUGCGUUAGAGGCAUGGGCUAUGCAAAAAUAAAAAUAUUUUGAGGAAAUAAAAAGGAGCAAGUGCUCGACAACCACGCAGAAAAAAUGGACAACUGCCCGACAAUAGAAUUAGGGGUACCUCGGUAUCCACAUGAAAAAAAAGAAAAGAGAAUGAAGAAAAUGAUAGCCCAUGGUACCUCUAACAAGCAAUAUGCCAGUAAGAGUUGACAAGUUUUUAAUUUCCAAAGUCUUUGAUCUAAGAGUAUGGCAUUCGUCUCCUCGGAUCCCGUUUUGAUCAGGCAAUAAAUGCAAGGUAAGUAUGCUUGAGAAUUUAUACAAAAUUAAAACAGCCUCAGUGAGAUAUAUAAAAGAUAACGAGUGACCUGAGAGAACCUAUGAGGAUAAAGUUAUGCUAAAUUUCUUUUGAAAAGUAUACAAAAACUCCAAGUGACAGGAUUAAGAAGAAAGGACCUCUACUUUGGCCAUAUAUUUUCCUGACUACGGUACACAGUGGAUUAUUUCAACACCCUGCAGGUAUGAAGAGAAUGUUUUGCAAUGUUUUAACCCUAGAUAUUUUUAUUAAUCAUCCUUUUCUCGAGGACGAGUAAAAGCCUAAGUAUGGGGGUGUUUGUUGACGGUUCUUAAGUAUCAGUUUUAGUUAUCAAAUAAACAAGGAAAAGGACUAAUAUACAAACAACACCUAGAAUUAGGGUUUGAUCUGACAGAAUUCCACGAGUUUGGUUGUUUAUCUAUUUCUGCAGGGGGUUAUCAGGAAAUAUGGAAGAAAGGCCCACACGUCAGGUUUACAUAGAGAUAUUAGCGUGCACCGCAAUUAUUCAACAUCUAGAAGACUCCAGAAGCCACGGGAACGAACGGGAGGCCGAUUGGGCUCGGGGGCAGGGCGCCGGACCGCCCCCCUUGGGCGCCCGCCCUCCUCUGGUGGCCAAUCAGGGUGAAUCAUGCGGAUUAUGCUCCACCGCCUUUGAGGUAAAGGAGAACCGUUCAAUCAAUGUCGGUUUGAUCAGACAGCCCAGAUUCAUUUGAAAAGGCUAUAUAAGCAAGGCCCCCUGGCCCCUGGAGGAGAGAAUCCAAUUAUUCAUUAGCAUAUUUUCCAGAGAGGAUUCAGGGAGAGAGAGGUUCCUUAGGGUUCCCACCUCAUAGGGCGUAGCAUCGAAUGUGAGAGUAGACUAGUUCUACUAGAUUGAGAAUUGCUGACAUAGCCUAAACCCUAAACCCUAAACUCUAGACCCCUCAUAGGGCGGAUUAAUUCCUGAUUGCGUUACAAAAUAUCAACAGUCCUUUGUUGACAUUUACUACCAUCAUUACUAAAAAUAGCGAUAAGCCCUACUCCUAGUAACAACACGAGUAAUGCAUGGUAUAUAAUUAACUUGUCAAUUAGCAACUAGCCACUUCCUUAAUUAUUAAUAUUCCUAAACAUGAAGUAGGUUGUCAUCCCUGAUUAUAUUGCUAGGAAUUUAUAGAUUUAUAUGUAUUACUGUGACUAGGCAGAAAUAAAAGAUAUGAAUAUAAUUGUAAACUAAAUGAGUUCUGCAAGCGGAUAAAUAAUUAUACCAUUGUAGCAUUUUACAUAGGGAAGUAUCUAGGUUGUCGAUUUAUAUUUAUACCACUGAGAAGACUAAGGGUUAAACUAUAUCUAUUAUAUUGAUAAGAAUGAAUAAAUGAUAUUACCUAAGUCCUAUAAUCUACUCAUAACAGGCAGAGGUCACAAGAUAAAUAAUGACAAAUAAUAGCGAUAGCAUAGUCAUCAAGUAUCAUAAAUAAAGGUAAUCAUUAGAGCAUCUACUAGUCAUAUUAAUAGUUAGCCAAUGGAUAAACUAAGGAGUUGGAUCUAAGGUAAUGCUAUAACUAUGCCAAUGAAUAACUCUAACUAGUGCAAUUACACCUAGAAAUCAUCGUUAAGUGAACCCUAUAUCAUAAUUACAUGUAAAGAGGCAUCAACUAGUGAGGGUUUUAAGACGCAACCGUCACCUCAUUCGUGACCGCACUCAUGCUAGCCCUACGUACGGAGGGUGGACUACAGAGGAACCAACACAGCUGUCACCUACGCGGACUACCACACGACCCAACACGUCAGGGGGCACUCACAGACAAACAAGAUAUCUAGACACCACAUCUACAUAUUGUCUAUCAUCUACCCAACGAUCGAUUAGGUAAAUGCUAUACGAGCAAUUACAUGAAUUCAAUAAGAUCAAACCAACUAUCCUAGACAUAUAACAAAAGUAGAUAAUGACUAAUGUAAUUAAGAACAUAUGAAUCUAUUAAGAAUAAAGUCUCCCUAAUAUACAAUGAAAUACUAUAAAGUAGAACUAUAACUAUUACCAAACUCUCCAGAUCCUGAUGAAGAACUAGAUCUUCUCUACUUCUAAUCUAACUAACUAGAACUAUGAACUAGAAGACUACUCUUGAUGAACUUGAAGGCGCUUGAUGCUUGAUGGCUUGAGGCCUUGAUGAAUAAUGAGGUUGGUUCUCCUCUUGGGGGGGUCUGCCCACGUAUUUAUAGUCCGGUGGGUGUCGCGCGCGCCGUCGGAUCAAACCGACUUAACCAAGGGCCGAGAUGACUUCUCAAAGCCAGUGGAGGAAGCUUCCGGAAGGGGGCACCAAACCCUAGAGGGGGGCGCCGGCCGGCGUUUGGGUGGGGCCAGCCGGCCCACCUGGUGGCGGCUGGUCCUCCCCUCGUGUCGGGUGUCUUCCAGAGUAUUCCUAAACCCUCUCAUGCUGUUUCCCGUGGUGGAUAUGUUUCCGUGUUUGAUUUGCAUUAGAGUCCAUAUUUUACAGCUUUCCUGAAAUUUACCCUAGAAAAUACAGAAUAUACAAAACUCAUGGAAAUUUUUAGUUUAAACCCUGUACUAGUGUGUAUUCAUGUUCUCCUUCAGGUUUAAAGUUAUAAUAAAAGUUGACGUUAUCGACCGUCAACAUCCUUGAAGUUGCUAUACUAGUUUGGUUCUGCGCCUUGACGGGGAGUGCGACCACAGUGAUUCUGCUACGCCAGAGUACUCAUGGCUUCAUUCAGCAUCUGCUGACCCUCAACAAGAGUUCAGCAGGCGUAGGCGGAGGAGGAGGUGGUGGUGGCGGCACUUCAUUAUUGCCGGAACGAGUAUUGCGAGCCAUCUCCACAAGGCACACCAAGUAAUCGUUUAGGAUGACAGAAAUAAUUGCCAAUCAAUCUCAAUUGAUGCCAUAUGGAAUUUAUUGAAAAUAAAUCCAUAUAAUACAAGGCACAAUAGUUGAUUCUCACAAUAAACAUCAUCCACAUUACUGGUUAACGCUUGCAUUCGUUCAUGACCACACAAUUUCUUAGGGAUUAAAAGACACCACUAAAAAUUAUUUAAGCUCAACAUAGACAUGGAGCAUCAUAGUUGAGUGCACACAGUUACACAGGGACAUGGUCACAGCUUAAGUUUUACAUAGAGACAUCACGACCAGAUACUGGAAGUUAUAACUGAAUUCCAUUAUUACACGUCCAGUACAUAAAAGAAACAGGAGCUAGUACAUAAAUGUGAAAAGCAUAGCUAGCCUAUAGGUCUUCCUCAGAUUCUUCAUUAGAGACCAUGCCAUCAUCCUGAUCGUCCUCACUAGGGUCCUCUUCAUGAUCAGCUAAAACAGGCUGUGGAAUAGGAUUUAUCACAUUAUGUAGGCGAUGCACAUCUAGCUGCAACUCAGCAAUUUGGUGGAUUAGCUCUUGCUCUCUAAGCUCAGCUUGGAACAAGGCUCUAACUCUAGCAGCCUCUCUAUUUUCAGCCAAGCACAUAGCCUCAUCUCGCUCCCUAGUCAUUUGCAUCAUGCGUGCUUGCACCUCAUUGCGCUCUCUAACUGCAUUUUCAACUUGAUUACGGCGGGCAUGCAAGGCUUGUGCACAUGCUUACGCAGCUUGCGCUGCCCAACUUGAGCUUGCUAAAGUGCUAGCAUAGCCUCUACAUAGGUAUCUUGGCGCACAUAGUACAACUUAAGCACCGCCAGCAUGGCACUCAUGGUGGGACUAGAACUGUACCCCAGCAUGGCUUCUCUCAUUUCUAAAGGCUCAGUCCCUAUCUGUGACACAAAGGAAUUAGUUGGGUUUACUCUAGGAAAGGUUCCUGCUGGGCCAUUGACAAGUUCAUCACCAAAGUCUUGGCAAAUCUCCAAUAACACCUAAGAGCUGAUACUUGGGCGCCCUCCCAAGGGGUUUGCCCAUCAGACUCCACUAUCCAACCUAACCACUUCCGGAUUAUUUGGACAAGCGGGAACUGUAAUUUGAACAUCCAUCCAAGGCAAAGACCCUACAUUCUCCGCCUCCCUCCAAGUGUACUUAGGUGGUUCUUCAUAGCCUACAGAGCUUAGCACCCUCCACAGCAAGGUAGGAGUGCCAAACAUGUCUAGGAAAGUUUCAUUCUCAUGUGCGGCUGCCAUCUGUAGUAAAAGAUCACAAUUUUGGUAAGGGAAAGUUACUUGCAAGAGAAGUAAUUAAGUACAACUUUCAGAUUUAUGAGAAAGUAAGUAGUGCAUAAGGAAAUGCAUGAAUGAUUCAUGAUGCAUGUACAGUUCAUACUUCCUCACAACUCCUAGAAAAGAAUAAUUCUAGUGGUAUAGACGGUGGCAUACAUAUGUGCUCUCUUUAUUUGAAACUAAUCAGUCUACACGUUUUGUGUUAGCAUACCUGUAGAAAAUUCAUUUCAGUCCAACCCCACAAUAGUAUAUGUGCAGAAAAUGAAAGUCUGGUGUUCUAGAUUCAAGCUAGGUACUCUGAUAUAUAUUCCCUAACAUAUAUCAUAGCACACUAUCCAUGUGGAGCAUGCCCAUAUAUACACCAAACAUGUAUACACAGUCGUACCAGCUACCCACAAUUAAGUAUUUUUAACAUGUGUGUAACAUAUAAAUAUUCCAGUAACCACAACUAACUCUCCCCUAGACCGAUGGUUGGACGGUCAUGCUCUCACAGCUCUCACUUACCAUAGUGUAGAGGCAUAUAGAUCCAUACAUUACACUCAAGCAAGUGGCAUCCAUAGAAUUUCACGCCGUAUGGACGAUGAAACAAAAAAAAUAUUGCUUAUCGUGGCGUAGUGUUAUAUAAUCCAUUCAUUACCACUUAAAUAAGUGGCAUCCAUACUAUUGCACGUCGUAUGGACGAUGAAAGAAAAAAUCCCCCAGUUAGUAUUACUUAUUGCCACCUAAGAGUCCUUAUGCGGGCAUAAAGGGUAUGACCACUGGCAUGAUAUAUUUUUGUUCAAACACUUUUGGAACAGCCCUAUGUAUAGUCUAAGUUAUCAAAUAGUUUGGAAAAACAAAUUCAUUUGUUUUUUAAUUACAUCCAUGAUGGUUAUAUGCUUAAUCUUGUUCCGAUGCCAGCUAUAACAGAACCGUCUAAUUUUUAAGAAUUCAAGUAAAUUAGCGACCACAAGAGCAGUCAAGCCAAUGGAUUUGAACCCAUAUAAACCCAGUAGUCCAACAAAACCUCAAAAGAUCUCGAUUCAACCAACAUACAACCAAGAUCAUACAUGAUCAAGCACCCCCAUCAUAGAUUACAUACAUUCAACAUAGACCACAGUUUUACAUCCAUCGGAGUCCAAGUGAAAUUUAUUACAUCAUAAGUUCAGUAGCGGAAGCAAAGUAGUUUUUGAAACAUCACACACACAUAGUUUGAUACAUGCCAGUUUGUGAUCAGCCCAACAAAAGCAUAAGUGAAGAUACUAGAAAUGAUCUUGCCCGAGAUCUACUCAUCAUCCGCAGCCUGAUGGUGACAGUUAGCACAAUACCCAUGGUACACGAUGUCAUCUGCAAUAAGUGUAAAUUAAACCCUGAGUACGAUAAGGUACUCAGCUAGACUUAUCCGUCAUAAACAAGAAAUAAAGUGACACCAAGGAUUAUGCAAGGCUCAUACAGGUGGACUGGUUUGACUCACAUUUUGCAUAAAAGCUUAAUUGAACGUUAAACAUAUACCUUCUUCUUAGCAGCAAGUUAAUUACUUAAAACAGCUAUCAACUAGAUUAGCACCUGUUCUAAGCAAACACUUGAUUGUUAAGCAUAACAAAUAAUAAACAUAUACAGUUUAACACAUAGCCAUCGUUAUCAUCAUCAUAACCAUUCCGUUCAAUUACUGUGUUCUACGUUGCCGUUGCUCGAGUCUAGUUCUCACUAUCCGGGAGAGACGGCGAUUCAAAUCGAUUCCAAUCCAGCUGGAGGGGUAUUCCUAGCACUGACCUAGGCGUACUUUGCAAGAGCAGCCUUAGGUCACUUUUAGCACAACUCAGGACUAAGUCGCGGGUCCGAUCAGUGCUGCACCCCCAGAGACGACAAUCUGCAAGGGUCAGGACUCUAAUCUGACACCUCGGUCUUACACCAUUGACUCCCCGCACAUACUCGCUACCAACCAUGGUGCGCACUGAAACAGAACAGGGUGCCCGGCCUGAAUUGACUCAUAGGCUUCGCAGUCGGAACGACUUAUCGGGCCAACUAAGUGUCAGGCAUGCGUUCAACAUGACAAGAGGACGUACAACGUAUCGGUCCUUAAGCAACACAGAUGGGGAUAGAUUCACACCAAUGACCUCCAAGCCUUGUUGCUGCACUAUCGUUAUCCUGCCCGGUCUCCAUUCAUUAUUAGCACAUGGUCAUUUCCACGAUAGCACAUAUAGCCAACCGUGAUCAGAUAUCCACCUAUCUCUCGUAGGUGACAAGAAAUCACCUGGCUUCUACCGAGCUAAGCAUGGCUAAGCAGUACGUUGAUCCUGGACCUACUCAAGGUGAGGUAUAAGGUGGACAAGGUAGUCUUUAUGCAGCAAAGGUGUCAUAUCAACGCCUAACACUAAAUGCAUCAAUACAUAACCAUAGUUAUUUGACUCUUGAACAUGAUAACAAAAAUAGUAGGAGUCUUAUAAUGCUCCGAGGCUUGCCAUCGAUGUACGUAGUCGGGUGGUCGUUCGGGCACUCCAGAAAGUCCCCCUCCUCAGCUCCUCCUUCCUGAGGGGGAUCCCUCUGCUGCUCCUCAGGCUUGGGUGGGGCGAACUCCAACACCGUCACGCCUUGGGGUGCACCUAGGUAUGCAUGACAAGGUAAUAAACAUAGAGAAUGCACAUAGGAUGCAAUAUGUCAUGAUAAGGAGCUAAAGUAACAUGUAACAAAGUGCAAACACAACCAAAAGCUUCUAUGAUUAAGUACCUAAUAGAUCAUCAAGUAGGUGCAUAUCUCUUCUCCAGUAGAGAUGCUAUCUAUACAAGCUAUUCAACUUAAACCACCCCACUUCAGCACUCAAGCUGUUGGACAGACUGGGCAGUCACAAGAUUCAGCUAUACCUUGGUCAUCAGUUGGCCAAAUUAAGUGAGUGAGCACUUUCUGGAAAGCUUAAUAAAUUGUCUACAACUCACUUUUAUACAUCACAGGAUUAUUCCCAACAGAAAGAAGUCAAAACAGACAAGGUCUCCAGUCUGCUCUGAAAAUUCCAGAGAGCAAGCACUUCGCAGCAGCAACUAGUAACAGCCAUAACUUCUAAACUAUUCAGUCAAAAGCUAUGAAAUUUGGACACAAGGUAGAUCAGUAAGUUAGCUAAAAAUUUGUUAUAAACACGUUUCCAGAAAACUUUAUCAUCAUGCAGUACUUAAGGAAGUUUUGCCAGCUACACAGAAAUUGCUCUUGACAAGGCAUAAAUAGCAAAAUAAUAUUUUAGCAUAUAUUAAGAAAGUAACAAUGGUCCAAACCAAAAGCACCAGUAGCUAGAACAUGUCUAAGAAACAUUAUAAAACAUCAUGGCAAGACCAAAACUCAUUGCUAAUAGCCCCUUUUCUAUUUAUUGAUUAAUAAAGGUGAAUUAAUGAUCCUAUAACAUCAGUGCUCCAAAAAUUCCAACAAAAUUACAGCAAGCUAUUCAUGCUUCAAUAAGGUUACUAUAAUAGUUUCAUUGCCAUUGGGCAGAUAGAUCAUAGUGUACAAAAAUGACAAGCUAUUAAAGGUAUUAAAGGCAUAAAUGAGAAACCCUAACAAAAAGUGUCAAACAACAUAUUUAAGAUUUUUCCUAGCUUUAACUUCACAUGACUACAUCAUCCAGCAAGUUUCACCUCAAUAGGAGUUAUAAUCUAUUUAUUAAAAAUGCUACAAGAAACUCCUAUUUAAACAAGGGAUAAAUAUAACUUCAUCAUAGAGUGACCAAAAUUCAUGCAAACAUUAUCAGAGUCUACUUAUAGCAUAAGUGACAUCCUCCUAAAUUUUCAUGGUCAUAGGACUCACAGAUUUAAAGAUACAAUUACCCUCUUUUUAUUAGGGAAUAAAAGAGAUAAAUCAUAACUAAAUAUUCCUGCAAAAACGUGUCAUGUUUCAUAUUUUUAUUAAACACUAGAUCAACUCAAGAACACAACAAAAUUUGUAUCAUUCAAUUUGGAUCUGCCAAACUUGAGUUAUGGAUUUUAUAAAAUAGCACUAAAAUCUACCAAAAACAAAAAUAGGGGGAGAGAGACAGAGGCUGACAGGGGGGUCCCACGCAUCAGUGCCUCUACAGUGAGGGCCGAGGCUUCCCCAACGGAGAACUCGACGACGGCAGGGUCUCCGCGGCAACCAAGGGCACCAUCAUGCUCUUCUCUCUCUUCCGCGUUAAUUGAGGUCAGUUUCCCUAACUCUACUGCAUCAAAGGUGCCUCGCCGUCGAGAAUGGCGGCGCGGCGGUACGCCGGCGAGCUGGGGCCACGGCGACCCAGUAGAGGUUCACGCCGAGCAUCAGUGAGGAACAAGGAAGCGAUAGGAGAAAGAAUAGUGGCCAGAGGUGGACGAGAGACCUCUGGCCACGUCGCCGGUGAGCGCGGGGUUACUACGGCGAGGUGGAAUCACGACGGAGUGAGCAAUGCUGGCUCACCGGUGCUUGGCUGAUGAAAAGGGUGUGACGAUGAGGUAUGUGCUGGCGGAGCUCCGUGCACGCUAGCUUGGCUCGGGAUGUGGCGUAGAGCGCUGGCGAGCUCGCCGAGCGACGGCGGAGCGCGACUGCGCUCUAGCGGGAGGAAGAAGACGAGCUAGAGCGAGGAGGGAGCGCAUCUGAGGCGUGAAGGAGGUGUGUGGCGCUUAAGUAGAUGUGUUGGCACUGACUGGCGGGGUCACCUUUGAUGUACGGUCAACAGCUGGCCAGACACGCGGCAGCGCACGGCGUCCAUGCCCUAUUCUGACAAAGUCGAUUCAAGGUUCAAUCGAUGACUGAAACCAAAACUUCAUCGAUGUUUUACUCGCAAUCUACUCGAUGGUUUUAGCUCAAAUUUGUCCCAUUGGAUAGAGCUACAUGAGUUCUACAACUUUGGUUUAAGAAUCAAAGUCUAACUCGGCCUGGAUUACAAACUACAAAGCUCCCAAGUACCCUACCUCGAAACUACAAAACCAGACUUAGGCAGAAUUUUUGUAAGUGUUGAAAAUAGCACUGAUUUCUGACUUGUGGGCCACUUUUGCGCAUGUUCCAAACAUUUUCAUGAAAGGGUCCCAAAAUAACUUUUGUAGCUUAUACAAUUUGCUACAACUUUGAUUUAGGAUCAUUGACAUGCAAGGUCUCUAGCACUAUUUUCCUAAAAGGUCUUGGAAAAGAGGUCUAGGAGGUCAAAGUAGGUCAACCUAGGUUUACCAUGACUUAGGGACCUUUUUGGGUGACACUUCCAACAUGAACAUUGUUCCAAAACAUGUUCUAAGCUUAUUUAAAGUAUUUGUGAGGAAAAUUGACACCCAUUCGCAUUAGUCACACUAGGGCAUACACAUAUAUAAGCAUGCAAACAAUCUUUUGCACAAGAAUUCACAUGAUGAUGGCAUGAUGCUUGUGAGUGAAUGUGAUAAUGCUCAUACUAAUGCAAUGCAAGUGCUUAACAUACAAGGCUAACACUAGAGGUGUUACAACUUUCUUCCCAGUCUUCUUUGAGAGUCAAAAUGGACCUGCUGCUCCAAAGUGCCAUUGUGUGACUACUAUAACUUUUCAUAUUAUGUUGCCUUAGAACCUAAGUAAUAGAGAAGUACAAAUGAACCUUGAUCUUUCUUGUUGUCCUCCCACUAUGAUUAUCUAUACAUUUAUCAUUGAAUUCUCUUAUAUGCACUUAAUUGAUUUAUCUUAUAAUAUAUCAUUUACUCCUGCUUUAGUUUAGUUGAUACUCUAAGUUAGUAGAUGUAUGAUAGUGAAUUAUCAGGCUCUUAACCCUAGCUUCCAUGUGGUAAAAUAUAAAUAACGAUACCUGGAAUACUCUUGGUAAAAUGCUAUGAUGAUGUUCUAUGCGCUUAUGGAAUCUUUCAUAUUUCUUUUUGCACUAACGAAUGUCAACACUUACCUAGAUUAAAUUUAAGACUUUCCUGCAGGGGUUUGUCCAACAAGAUAUCCAGUAUCUAGUACGACAUAUUAUCAAUUCAAAAAUCAUCCUAGACACCUUGUCCAAUUUGAUUUAGGAAGGUAUUUUAACUAAGCACCACAGAUAAUUUAAAAGGCCUUUGGAAGUAAAAUCAACAUGCCUCUUGGUUCAUAAAUAAAACUAAACACCUCUUCUAAUUUGAUUCUAGAAAACAACCUAAACUAAGCACCAUGCCUAAUUUGAAAGGUGUAUGAAAAUACUCUAAACCUACUUAUAUACCCUAAACUAAGCAUUAUAGAGAUUUAUUCAAGUGGAGAUGAAAAGAGCAUGAGUUUUGUCUAGAAAAUUUAGCAUGUCUUGAGUGUAUGAAUUAGCAACAUGGCAUAAGAUUUGUCAGAGAAUCCCAUUCCCCUGAGUCUCAAGUAUGCAAAGCAAUGUCAAGUUUGGUCAGAUGUAAUUCAAUGUUGCUUGAUGACUAGGUGGACAUACCUUACAUUGCCAUCCUUCAUUUUUUUCUCCAAACCUAGAAUGGUUAGUGACAAAAAUACCUGAAGGACUAUUCUCAUAUAUCUCUAUGCUCAAGAGCAUUAUAGAAAAAGGUGCAAGCUUAUGUUUUCUCUCAAGAGUGCUUGUUUUAGGACACAAACUCGUCCUCAGAAAACCUUCUAAUUGUGCUUCAAGGUGGUGAGGUGGUUUCCCUUAUAACACCAACCUUCAUGUACCCAUCUCAAGAUUCUCACUACGAGAUCUAUAAUAUUUAUGAUAAACAUAUGCAUCUGCAACCACUCUUUCAAUGUUUGCAGGAAUAGGUAAAAUGAUAGGGUGGACGAUCUCUUGGGUGGCAAUGUUAGAGAGACUAGUUAAUUUAGGAGACUUCAUAUAUGAAAAUGGAUUUAGUGAGGUGUCAAUAAAGUAAUUUUCAUGCUCAUUUAUGUGAUCUUCCUUUUCAAUCUCCAAGGGUGUUUCUUCCUAGAUGUCAAUAGGUAGAAAGUUUCUCUAUUAUUAUAUGCCUAUGACAACCCUUGGACAUUUUAUUGUCCAAGAUUUCCCAUGGACUAGUGUCUCUAUGAUUGUCUUGUCUAAGUCUUCUCUAAACUUCAGUGAGUCAUGUUUAAUAAAGAGAGUGAUGUAAGCUCACUGUUUGGAUCUAACCCAAGUUUGGACCAUAAGGCUUCUUUCUUGUCCUUCCAAUAAAGAUCAUCAGUGUUAAGGAUGGGUUGAGAGAUGGGUUCAUGUGAGGCAUUUAAUGUUGUCAUAGAAGGAGAAAGUAUAGAAUUAUCUCCUAAGUGUGUUUGGCUCUCCUUCUAUGGCUUCACUAAACAUGCCAUCUCUAUACUCUUCCCAAUGUCUUAUAUUUUUAGGAGGGAAAGGAAAUUGAUGAUAUUUUCUAAAAGAGGCCCUUCUAAGAAAUUUUAGAUCGUUGCCUUUCUCCUUUACUCGGAGGCUUUUGGGUCUUGAUGGUUUGGGAUUAAUGGCUAAACCUUAGGAUUGAUGUGGUUGUGAUUUAUCUAUCAAAACUUCCUCUACUUGUUCAAAUGAUGAUUUCUUCCCUUUUUUCGGGACACUACUAGUGAAGGGAGUCUAUGCACUAACUGUAUCAAGUAUAGUGCUUGCUUCACUAAAAGAUAGAUGAAGGAAAGCUCCUCUAGAGGCUACAUCAAGGGAUACCCUAGAUUUCUUCCUAAGUCAUAUGUAAAAUGUUGAAGAAGAAUCAAGUCUAAAAAAGCAAGGUCUGGGCUAGUGUUCAUGAGGUCAUUAAAAUGAUCCUAGGAUGUGCUAAGAGAUUCUUGUUCUAGUUGCCUAAAAGUCAGAACAUCUUUUCGAAGGCUAACUACCUUAAAUAUGGGAAAGAAAUGCAAACAAAGUUGUGAGUAUAGCAUUUCCCAAUCUCCUUGUACACUCUCUAUGGUCUAUUCAUACCACUUUUUAGCUUUUCCUAUCAAAGAUAACAAAAAAGGUUCCAUCUUAAGGUGUCAUCAGACAUGACAGCGAUACGCAACCAUUCAUAGGUCUCCCAAUCUUUUGUAGGUGUGAGUGUGGGUUUGCAAAACCUUCUUCUGAGAAGGAUUGUCCCUGAAUCAUGUUUAUAAAAAACAGGCACAGCUCAUAGCUAGAUGCGGUUGACGGUCCUUAAGUACCAAAUAUAAUCAUCAAAUAAAUAAAGAAAAGGAUCCAAAUACAACCAACACCCAGACUUAGGGUUUUAUCUGAUAGAAUUCCAUGAGUUUUGGUGUUUGUCUAUUUCUGCAGGGGGUUAUCAGGAAAUAUGGAAGAAAGGCCCACACGUCGGGUUUACAUAGAGAUAUUAACGUGCUGCACAAUUUUCUAUCAUCUAGAAGACUCCAGAAGCCACGGGAACGAACGGGAAGGUGAUCGGGCCCGAGGGCGCGGCCCACCCUCCCCCCUAGGGCGCCCGCCCUAGUGCAGAGUCUAAUCAGGACCUGUCUCGCGGAUUACGCUCCAUCGACCUAAAGGAUCAAGGAUAACCGUUCAAUCAAUGUCGGUUUGAUCCGACGGCCCAGAUUCAGUUGAGGGGACUAUAUAAGCAGACCCCCUGGCCCCUAGAGGAGAACAAGUUCAUCAUAGAGUUGAGAGGUGCCCUCGAAGGAUAACCUUUCCUCUAAAUAGACUUAGGGCUUAGCAUCCAAUGUGAGAGUAGACAAGAUCUACUAGAUUGAGAGAGAUAGAGUGGAGGUGUAGAUCGGAGGAAGCUCGGCCUAUCGGUGUCUACUCUGAGGUUGUACCUGCGGGAUCAAGUUCUCCUAACCCGAGGCUUGCUCCUAGGAUUCUUCAGUAAUUCGACUUCUAAAUUCUAGUAAGUUCUUGUUUUAUUGUUCUUUGGUUUAUGAGUUUACUUUAAUCUCUUUCAGUUGAGUUUAGAGUAAUCAUUGCUAGCGUAAAUGUGGUGUUUGGGCUAGGGUACUCAUAGAUAUCCCCUGACUAGCUGGACCGUGGUAGUAGCGAGGAACGUGACAUUUUCGAGUUACCUUUGCAGCCCACAUCUCGUUAGCAGGAUGGGUAGGGUUUAUAGGUGUGGGUCGAACAUCCUCUGUGGUGUCUAGAUUCCGUGAGCCUCCCCAAUAGAACGGUAGAUCAUCCUUACCAUGGUUAGAAUGAGACUACGGUAGCAGUCUUCUCUAUACAUCGCUCACAUCGAAUCACAUUCUUUGUAGCCUAAAGGGUAGUAGCAAUAGAUUUGGUUAGUCAGAUGCACGCUUUCUCCCAGUGGUAAAAAUAUAAAUACGAUACUCUGGAUAACCUCCCGGGUGAAGUGCUCACCGAUAUCCGUGCGCUUGCGGAUCAUUUCCUGAUGGCGUUACCAAAUAUCAACAAGCAUUUCUGAUGUCGUUGCCUUGGAGAAAGACGGUUUGCUGAGAUAACUUUAAGUCUUGCUAUUAUCUUGUAUUAUACUUUUAUACUUUUAUUAUUUUAUCUUUUUAUUUUUUCCAUCUUUGUGGAUAACUCAAAUUCCACCUAUUAUUGAAUUUUUUGCACCUUCGGAGACCAGCCAUAGACCAUGGGAGUCAACAAGUCCUUUCUUUGCCCCUAAUUAUGAUCUGUGUCCGGAGUUGAUUGCAAUAGGUCAAAACCAACCCUUUUAUAUAGCUGAGGUCCUAUCUUUUAAUCA
rnacentral:lncRNA from 1 species